rnacentral:lncRNA from 1 species
CGAUGGAGAAGACAGUAGAGAGGGCUGAAAAAUUGAAGGGCGCAGCUGGGGCUGCUUCUUCUGAAAAAUACAAAAACACAAUACACAGAUACACGGGAGACGCUGGGAAUUGAAGAAGCUGCGCAGCUUUGGCUGCUGCUUCACAUACAACACACGCUGAUACACAACAGAAGAGAAGCGGCGCAGCUUUUGAAGACAACCCUCACAGGACCAGCGACGCAACACCAGAGAAACGACCCCAGCCCCCUUUCCCGUAUUCUUCAAACCCCCCUGGUUCUGUAACGUUCGACGGUCCCAAACGACCCCUGCUGUUUCUUCCAUUUUUUCCAUUCAGGACAGCACCGGUAAACACGCACACACGUACAACUGACUGGGAAUACAGCAGAAACAGUGACAAUACAUGAGAGUUUUCCAGUCGUCGAGCCGUUGAGGUCGUCACCGAAGUUCCGCUCAUCGAUCUCUGUUCGUUUCCAAAUCUGUUUGCUUCCGCCUGAGCUAAUCUUUUGCUGGCUUAUGCUGCUUGUGUAAUUGCUGAACACUUCCGCUAAAUUGGAAGCUUGAUUUUCAGGUUCAUAAUCUAUUUUUCCCAUAUUAUUUAAUUUUGUUAGAUUUCCGUUACCUGUACUCUGUUUUACUUUCAUGCCUAAGGUCCGAAUUUGUUUUGCUUGGAGAUAUUGGGAUUGCCAUGUGAUGUGAUUUUUGUGAUGACUGAGUUAGUGUUCAGAUCCGUCCAGCCUCACAUGAAUAUACCGCAUGUUUGAUUGGUUUUCUUGGUUGAAUUUCAAUUGAGUCGAGUUUGAAGUUGUCCUAACUCACUUGUCGAUGUAGAUGUUAGUGGUAAAACGACUUACUGCUUGUAUUGAGGAAACAUUAGUUUUAGAAAAAAACCUUGCUUCUUCAAUGAAUGAUAGUGUAUUUUGUUUCAUCCCUGUAUUGAGGAAACAUUAGUUUUGGAAAACAACCUUGCUGCUUGAAUGAUUGAGAGUGUAUUUUCUUUCAUCCGUGUAUUUGCUGUAAUCUUCGUUAAUUAAAGACCAUCGAAGGUUCAGUUCUUCUUUCCUCUUAAUGUAGUCUUUAAUUAUUUGUGAAUACAAGUAAAAUGGAAGUUGUUUGAAUUAGUUGGUCUGUUCGCUUUAUAUGUUAUCGCCUCAGCUAUUUGGAUUAGAACUUGGUUUUUGAUCCAUGUAUUGUUGGUUCAAGGAGGACUCUUGUGAUUCCUGAUUGAAUCUGGAUCCUUUUAGGUUUGUGUUUUUCUGUCGUUGAGCUCCUGAGUUGUUGUUGCUUCGCUAAAUGCGUUUACAUGAUUCAAUGGGAAGUUACUGAGAUGUUCAUGUAAUAAUGUGCACAAAUGCUCACUGAUGAACACGCUGGAUUUCUGUUCCAUUUUGAGCGGAUUUGUCACCAGUUCUCAAACUUUCAUUGGCAUAUUUGUUGUAUCUCUCGCUCAGCAACAGAGAACAACGGAGGGAGCUUCCAUUUUCUUCACAACGCUUGAACCUCAACUACAACCUAGCUGCAAAACAGAGUGCCUGAGCUCCAGCUUCAAAAUUUAUACCUUAUUCAGUCACUCUUCUGUUGAUUUUGUUUAAGGUAUGCCAUACUCAUCUAUGACCCUUUGUCCAAUUCAUAAUUGAAAGAAUAUGAAUUUAUUCGUGUUACUGGAUUGUUUGAUUUCGUGGAGCCCUCACGUUCAGCUUUUAAAGUUGUUUACUGAUGUUCUCUUUGGCAUUUACUGCCACAUGUGUGUUUGAAUAACCAAUCAUUUCAAGUUUUGAACUUAUGAUAUUUGGUUGGGAUUUGAUGAAAUAGUGUUAUUAUUAUGAUAGUUUAAUUACAUCGAUGGGCGGAUCUACAUAUAAAAUUUGGGUGCUCGAGCACCCAUUAAUCUCGACCCCGAACACGUAUAAUUAUAUAAAAAAUUUAAAAAAUCGGAUAUAACAAAAUAGCAAGCAUCCAGAUAACAAAAGGCUUGGUGGGUGUGUUGGUUAUGAUGGAUGUUGAAGGGCUCUAAAUGAGUAUAUAGUCGAGAGAUCGAAUCUCACUCACGCCCCUAGCUAGACUUUUUCCUCCAUUUAUCAAGCACUANNNNNNNNNNNNNNNNNNNNNNNNNNNNNNNNNNNNNNNNNNNNNNNNNNNNNNNNNNNNNNNNNNNNNNNNNNNNNNNNNUUUUUGCUCCAAUUAAAAAAGUUAAGCACCCACGAACUCAAAAUCCUGGAUCCGCCAUUGAUUACAUCACAUGUAAACUUUAUGUCUCAAUUUGUUUUGGACCAUAUGAAUAUUUGUUAGUGUUUUUUUGGCAUUGUAAGAAUCCUGAACUUGAAGUUAGUUUCGGCUAUAUUUGUACAAGAUCAAAGAGGUCAUUUUGUAUAUUAAAAAUGGAGAACAAUUUGAGUACCAAUAUUAUGUAUCUGAUGCAAUUAAAUGGCUACUGUAAUGAAUAUAUUGGAUAUGAUUUCCCUUUUCUAAUAUUAAAAUACAUUAAUGGUACUAUGACCAUGUAUGCAAAGGCACUAAAUCUGAAAAUCGAGAUGCUAGUGCUUUGUUUGCAAACCCGAUUUUGAAUUGGCCCAUUUGGAUACUGAUAAUGAUUAAGCCGAACACUAACCUUAGUUCUAGAUUAUGGAAUAAUCUCAAACUGAGAAAGAAUUAAUUCAAGAACGUCGUAGUCUUGUUUUAGUUAAAUAAUAAAAUCUUUUGAAAUAAUUUGAGGUGCGCUGUGCCAAAUGAGAUCUCAAAUUCAUGGCCAUCACUAGGAAGGAAAAGAAUCUUGUUGAUUUAGUUGUUGUAAAGCUAUUGGAAAGCUAGCAUACCCUGGAUUACGGGCAAGCUGAGAAAAGGUUUGUCUUAUUGUUUAUCCUACACUCUCAAUAGAAUGAAUUAGGUUGUUUGAAUUCGUUUGAAUCAAUAUGCAAAACGUGUUAGAUCAUAUCAAAAGGGAUAUUGGAUUGAUUAUAUUGGCACGAACCUAUUUAAUUAUGUUAGAUUGGAAUUGAAUAAAUGGAGGUGUGCCGUGGCGAACAAAAAUCUCAAAUGCAAGGCCCUCGUUUAAAUUAUUCUUGUUUAUCCUUAGAUUCUGAAGAGUGCCGUUCAAAUGGAAGGCCUUCGUUUAAAUUAUUCUUGUUUAUCCUUAGAUUACGAGGCGUGCCAUUUAGCGAAUUCCAUGGCCCUCGCAAAGUGCGAAUGCGUAGUUGCUUUAGGGGUGUGUUUAAUAACAUUACUUUUCUAAAUUCGGGUGUAUAUUUAUGUGACCCAAGUCCAAAUCUCAACGAAGUUGAAAUGUGUUAAAAUCCACAUGUGCAUUUAUUUGACGUGGUUCGAGACAUGUUUUAACGACGUUGCAAUUUUCUCUAAAAAUAAUGAUAAAAGCGGUUUAAAGUCAAAAAGCAUAUAAGUUAAAACAUGUUCUAAAAUCAGAUAAUUUAAGCCAAAUAUAACAGUUGAGCGACCGUGUUAGAACCAUAGAACCAGGGAAUGCCUAACACCUUCUCUCGGGUUAACAAAAUUCCUUACUCGGAUUUUUGGUUCGCGGACUGUUAAACAGAGUCAUUCUUUCCUCGAUUCGGGAUUCUAAACGGUGACUUGGCACACCAUAAAUCUCCCAAGUGGCGAUUCUGAAAUUCUCUUAAAUAAUUGAAUCCCGUUUCGAUUGUCCUUUAAUUGGAAAGACUCCCUUAUCUUCGCCCUUCGCCAGGUUGUAGUAGCAAAAAGGAGGUGUGACAACUACCAUAUUAUCAUGCUUAUAGUUAUAGCAAGAUACAUAUGUGCACAAAUUGUACUUAGAAUGUGGUACCCAAGAAUUGUAUAUUUGUAUAUACUUUAAGCGAUUUAAAUCCUUAAGAGAUUGUCAUAUAAAUUAAGUCAUAUAAGCCAUAUAAAUAGACUUUAAAUACAUAUCAAUUUUUUAUGUCAUGCUAGACAAGUAAAAUAGAUAAAAGUGAUUGCAUCCACCAUUGACUUAUAUUUUCAAGUGUUUGAACUGCAGGUUCAAAACAAUAUAUCUUUCAUAUGAAACCAAUUCUACUUGAAUCAUUCCGGACUUAAGAUCCUCAUAUAUGUAUUUUAGCGCUAUCAUAGAUGUCGUCUACGAACAAUUUAUAUCGGUUUCAAUCUCCUUAUUUUUCAUAAAGAUAUAACAUAGAGAUCUCUUCAUUCAUAUUUCAAGUACCUAAAUCUCACGUGAGAUUUUAUGAAGUGUUAUGUCAUGUGAUCUUCUAGAUCACUUGCCUCCUUUAUUAUGUUGAUUUGCUCAUCUUCUUUAUCAAGAAGUUUAUUUGAAAUCGAUUUGUCUCGCUUUAAGCGUACUAUAGACGCUGUCUUUCUAGGACUUAAUAGGAGCAUUUGCAAUGAGAAUAUAAUUAUUUUCAUUGGGUCAACAAAUUCGUUUGGCUUUCUUUGCAAUAUAUUGCAAAUGAAUUAUCUUUUUUUAAACUUCAAGUCAUAUUGUUUUAUUCGAGGAUCUACAUGUCCAAAUGAUAAUUCAUUCUACGUAACAUUUUCUCAACUAUUUAUCAUGUCUCUUCCUCGGGUUAGAAAAACUAACUUGCUUCUUCAACUUUAAAAUUCACGUUUUGCGUUAUGGUGUUGACUAGAAUAUACAUCACAGAUCAAUAAUAAUAAGAUAAAAUUAUUUGGUUCCUAACCCUGAACCACUUGUGAUAGGAUAAUGUAAUAUACUUUCAUAUAUAAUCUAUAUCAAACUGAUAUAGAUAACUUUAUUAUCAUAAGCAACAAUGUAGCUAUUAAGUGGAUGCACUCAAUAAAUUAUUUUGCUAAACCAACAGCGACGUAAUUUACCUUAUCAAGAUGAACUGUCUUGAAUAAAAAAUAUAGAAAAUAUGCUCGAAGUUAAAAAUUGAGCAAGUUACCUCGCAAAUAUCAAGUUGUGGGUUAAUACUAAUCGCACGUGUAACCAUCUCAUAGAUGCAUCUUACGCGGUAUACAUGGCAGGUGAAUGAGCCCAUAUAUUCACCUUUGAUGUUUUCAGUAUUCAUGGAAUUCAAUCCCAAUAUUAAUUAACUAAUGAGAACAAGCAAUGUAAGAUAAUUUGUAAAGAACUUUCUAAUUCUUGAAUAUUUACCCAUGUGAAUUCUUUUUUUGUGUGCACAUAUACUUAAAUUAACAUGACUAAAUCAAUUAUGCCAACUAGAUAAAUUAUCAACAUUGAUAAACUUCAGGUUUACACCAUGACGUGUGCGAUUAUUAAUAAACUCCAAGUUUAUUAUGAUAUGAGUUUUUAUAUCAAUAAACUUCUACUUUAUUGUGGCAUUCUUUUAUUUGUGUAGUACAAAUUGAAAAAUAAAGAGGGUAACUUUUGACAUACAUAUUAUCCCGCUAUAAGUUGUAGUAAUAAAAGAUAUUAAAUCUUUCCUUUAUUUAUAGUUUCAAUAUAACCAACCGCUUUCGCGAAUACUUUAGAAAAUCAAUUAAGUUUAUUUGAGGCUUACUACGUCACAAUACUUUAUGGAUAAAUUCAAUUUAUUUCUUCAAGAUAAUAUAAUUAUUUAUUUCAGAGCUUUCAGUUAAUUUUGUACUACCACAUAUUCAUCAACAACCACAUGAUGAAUAUCUCUUUCAAGGAGAAAGUUAGACCAUUAUGGUCAUAGUCAAAAUUAUUAUAGGUAAGAUAUAUUUUUUCUAUUACUUUUGCCCUCUAAUAAUAGUAAUAUUGCCAUAAUAUUUUGGGCAUAAUCACAAUAGGUAUGUUAUCAAUGUCCAUUCAUGCCAUAAUAAUGAAAUUAUUUUCUUAUGUCAUCUCAAACCUCCUCUUAGAGGUGAGUGUGGUAUAUUUAUUACCACUAGCACAUUCAUAUUCUUCCAAUAAUAAAUAUGUAUUCAUAAAUCAGGUGGUGUCACAUUCACAUCAUGAAUGGACCGUAGUCAUUUGUAUGUGCAUUACGAAAUCUCAUGUCAAAGCAAUGACAAACAUUAAUUUCACAGAGUGAAAGCUUAUUUUGAGAAUCCUUAUUAUUCUCAUUACCAUAAUGAUGACGAUUAUAAUUUCGUCUAUUGCCACGUUCAUAUCUGUUGAUACUUUUACAGUAAUAAUUUCAUCUUCUUUUAGACUUAUUACAUAUUGCUACCACAUUCUCUUAAGAAAAUGUGAAUGAAUCAAAUUCAAUGGGACGUGUUUUCACUUCUUUGCCACAAUCAUACAUGAAUUUGAUCAUGAUAAUGCAUAUGAAUUUUGCCACUUCAGGUGGUUAUAGUUUCUUACGAGCUCUAUUAGAGUUAUAGUCAAAAUUUAUUGUUUUGCUUGUAUUUAAAAUCAAAUUAUAAAAUUUCAAGAGUUUAGAAGCGAAAAAUAUGGUAAAAUACAUACUUUCAAUCCAUAAUUUAUUCGUGAAGGAAGUUCAUGAAACAAUUGAUAAUCAUUAUGUUCAAUAUUAUAUACAUGUUGAGCACCAUGCACAUAUUCCAAAGUCUGGUGACCAAAGUAGAUGCCUCUACUCAAUUAGUUAGAGUCUUGUGCUGAUAACGUGUUAUGAAACAAUAAAAGAAGAAGAAGAGUAUUGUAGAGAAAAGUAGAGAAAAUUCUUAUUGAAUAUGUAUCAAUUACAAUGGAAUAGAACCCCUCUACUUAUAGGGAAAAAUUGACCACCAAGUAACAAAUCCUAAAAUAUCUCUAAACUAUAGACAUUCACGUCAAAUAAAAUUCUAUUUAUAACAGAUCAUGCUUAUUGUAUUUUAAAAUAAAAAUCAUCACAUCCACAAACCUCAUAAUGCGAUUAGCAUGCACUUCUUCGGCUACAUCAGUCAUGUUUAUAGUCGUCAAUAUGGGCUUGGCCCGUUUGACCAUCCCAGCCCAACCCAAUCAACAUGUAAUUUAGUAGGGCUGUGCUAGAAUUUUUGAAGCCCAUUUAAAUAUGAGGCUAUUAAGCCCAGCCCGAGUAAGUGCGUAGCCCAUGAGGCUUGAGUGAGGCUGGGUUUAGCCGGCCCGUGGGCCUAAUAAAAAUACAACAGCAACAACAAUAACAACCAAGUAUAAUCCCACUUAGUGGGGUCUGGGUAAGGUAGUGUGUACGCAGGCCUUACCCCUACCCUAGGGUAGAGAGGCUGUUUCCAAAUAGAUACUUGACAUCCUUCCCUCCAAGAACUUCCCACCUUGCUCUUGGGGAGUGCUCUUGGGGAGACUCGUUCUCACAACCUCUUGGUUGGAAGUGGAGGUUUCUUACCAUCAGAGCAACCCCUCUUGUCUAAAAAUACGUAGUUAAAAUGUAUAAAAUAUAGAAGUAUAUGUACAAAAAUAACAUGAAAAAUAUCGCAACCUUAAAGUUUAUUAAGCUCAUCAUAUUAAAAGAUCAAUGUCUUAAAAUGUUAAUUAGUGUUAAAAUUUUAAUUAUUCUUAAUAUUUAACUAAUUAAUAUUGCAUAUGAAUUGUAGAUGUAGAUGAAAGUGAAGAUGUUAAGACAACCUUCCACAAGCGGAUUCAAAUGUGUUUGAUGAAGAUGAUGUGUUGGAUAUCCCAUAAGUG